UGACCAUCUCACAUUGAAACACUGGUUCUUGUCUGAUCACCGAAGUUAAGCAACGAUGAGACUGGUUCGUACCUAGAUAGGUGACUGCUUGGGAAUACCAGAUGCU